ensembl:lncRNA
CUCCACUGUUUGGCAGUUUAUCGUCUCCCAAACACGGUUAAAGACUUUUUGAGUAAAGAGGAGCAUCUCAUCUGGACCUGAUGUCUAUCAUGGAUAUCUAACUGCAGUACUGUGAGUAUCCCAACUUUAACAUGAAGAUGAACUGCGAACUGUAAGUCAUUAGUUUCUCAUUACUCUUGGGCACAUUGAUGUAUGUUGGCUUCCUGGUGAGUUAACCCGUUAGCUGAGGUUGAUCUGAUUAGUAAGGAUCUUUUAUUGGUUCAUGGGUUACUUAGCCACCCCUCCACUGGAUGGUCUUCUGAACAGAUGAUCUCCUUCCUGUCCUCAGGCUGACUAAAGCUGCACCGUUUGCAUCUGUGAAGGCCCU